AAAGCUAUUUGCUUUCUCUCCCUCCCCUAUUUCUCUCCGUCGAUCAUGUUCUCCACCGCCCGCCGUACCACCACCGUACCCGGUGGCCGACGAAGCGCGGAGAUGGGCUUCUUAGCCUCGUUUUGAGGCACAUUCGAAGGCCAUGCCUUCUCAACCCCAAAGAAAUCGAAAGAAAGGUCCCCCCUCUCCCCGGUUCGACUUCGGCGAUUGGAGAAGAGAUCUCCAGCGAUGAGUCUGUGGGAAGAUCAAGGUGAGGUUACCUUUCUCUUUACCUUUUCGUUUAUUUUCGUACAUGAAAAAGAAAAAAGAACUAAAACACAAUAAAAAAAACAAAGAAAUCAAAACCAAGAACUAGAUGAAAGAAACUAUUGUAAAAACCAAAAAUCACCUUAAAAUCUCUUUUUUAUCCCUGGUUUCUGCCUUUUGUUUGUGGCUUUAUAGUCGAUCUACAAUGUAUUUUUUAUCUAUUUUUUUCUACUGUUUUGCACUAUUUCUUGCGUGUUUGCAGGAGUGGUUGAGCGGUGGAGCAGGUGGAGGUUGUGGCACCGGUCAGAGGGCAGGUGGACGAAGGGACAGUGGCGUCUGAUUUGAAAAUUUUGUUUUUCUGAUUUGUGUUUUCUAGGCUAGGGUUAGAUUUGGGCUAGGGACUUUGGGCUUGUUAUUUGGGUUCUUGUAUUGGGCUUAGGGUAAAUUUGGGCUGGUACACUAUUCACGAUUUUUUUUUUACUUUUGAUUUGUUUUGUAAUAUGUUUUGUCUUUUUUUUCCAUUGUUGUAGUUAUAUACAGUGGAAGUAUAUGGGGAAGUUCAAAAAAGAUUGUUAAAGGUUUUUAAAUAAAAUUUUUUUCUUUUG
rnacentral:lncRNA from 1 species